CGAAGUCUCACUCUGUCGCCCAGGCUGGAGUGCAGUGGCGCAUCUCGGCUCACUGCAAGCUCCGUCUCCCACGUUCACGCCAUUCUCCUGCCUCAGCCUCCCGAGUAGCUGGGACUACAGGCGUCUGCCACCAUGCAGCUAAUUUUUUGUAUUUUUUUUUUUAGUAGAGAUGGGGUUUCACCGUGUUAGCCAGGAUGGUCACGAUCUCCUGACCUCGUGAUCCGCCUGCCUCGGCCUCCCAAAGUGCUGGGAUUACCGGCAUGAGCCACCAUUUCCGGCAACAGGCAGACUUUUAACACAUUCCUUACCUAAACUUUUAAAAGGGACAAAAGAUAUAUGCCUUUGGUUUGGGAGAUGACGAAACAUAUGCUUUAAUGACUAUUGGGUUGGAAUCUUCUUGAGAGAGGAUCCUUCUUAGCCUAGACUAGAGUCUUCAAAAGCCCACAGUGCUUCGUAAAGUUUCAUACGUGGAAGAGAGAAGGAUGUUCCACUGGAAAAGCAGAAUUGCAGCUGAGCUGUCCUGAAAUGCCCAGCACUCUGUGGAGACGCGGAGGAGGUUUCCUGGGACAAAGUGCUGAACCAGGCUCAGCUGAGCACCAGGUCCUGAGCUGGCACCCACAGAAGAGCAGAGCAGAUG
rnacentral:lncRNA from 10 species